rnacentral:rRNA from 1 species
AUUAUACUCCAUAAUACUAUGGACAGGCAUCUGUUCAUGGUUAAAGCCCCGGCGGUCAGAGAUGGGCAUGCGUGACAUUAGCUUGUUGGUGAGGUAACAGCUCACCAAGGCUACGAUGUCUAGGGGGUCUGAGAGGAUGGUCCCCCACACUGGUACUGAGACACGGACCAGACUCCUACGGGAGGCAGCAGUGAGGAAUAUUGGUCAAUGGGCGAAAGCCUGAACCAGCCAUGCCGCGUGAAGGAUGACAGCCCUAUGGGUUGUAAGCUUCUUUUGUACGGGAAGAAACGCUUCUACGUGUAGAGGUUUGACGGUACCGUACGAAUAAGCAUCGGCUAACUCCGUGCCAGCAGCCGCGGUAAUACGGAGGAUGCAAGCGUUAUCCGGAUUUAUUGGGUUUAAAGGGUACGUAGGCGGGAGCUUAAGUCAGUGGUGAAAUCCUGCAGCUUAACUGUAGAACUGUCAUUGAUACUGGGCUUCUUGAAUGUAGUUGAGGUAGGCGGAAUGUGUAAUGUAGCGGUGAAAUGCUUAGAUAUUACACAGAACACCGAUUGCGAAGGCAGCUUACUAAACUACGAUUGACGCUGAGGUACGAAAGCGUGGGGAGCGAACAGGAUUAGAUACCCUGGUAGUCCACGCUGUAAACGAUGAUCACUCGUUGUUGGCAAUACACCGUCAGCGACUGAGCGAAAGCAUUAAGUGAUCCACCUGGGGAGUACGACCGCAAGGUUGAAACUCAAAGGAAUUGACGGGGGCCCGCACAAGCGGAGGAACAUGUGGUUUAAUUCGAUGAUACGCGAGGAACCUUACCUGGGCUUAAAUGUAGAACGACGGACCGGGAAACUGGUCUUUCUUCGGACGGUCUGCAAGGUGCUGCAUGGCUGUCGUCAGCUCGUGCCGUGAGGUGUCGGGUUAAGUCCCAUAACGAGCGCAACCCUCAUCAUUAGUUGCCAGCGGGUAAUGCCGGGGACUCUAAUGAAACUGCCGGUGUAAACCGAGAGGAAGGUGGGGAUGACGUCAAGUCAGCACGGCCCUUAUGUCCAGGGCUACACACGUGUUACAAUGGUCGGUACAAAGGGCA